AAAGUACUCCAUCCGUCCCAAAAUUCUUGUCUUAGAUUUGUCUAGAUACGGAUGUAUCAAGUCACAUUUUAGUAUUAGAUACAUCCGUAUCUAGACAAAUCUAAGACAAGAAAUUUGGGA
rnacentral:pre_miRNA from 1 species